rnacentral:rRNA from 1 species
GGGAAUAAAGUGUGGGACGUGUCCUAUUUUGUAUGUACCUUAUGAAUAAGGAUCGGCUAACUCCGUGCCAGCAGCCGCGGUAAUACGGAGGAUCCGAGCGUUAUCCGGAUUUAUUGGGUUUAAAGGGUGCGUAGGCGGCCUUUUAAGUCAGCGGUGAAAGUCUGUGGCUCAACCAUAGAAUUGCCGUUGAAACUGGGGGGCUUGAGUAUGUUUGAGGCAGGCGGAAUGCGUGGUGUAGCGGUGAAAUGCUUAGAUAUCACGCAGAACCCCGAUUGCGAAGGCAGCCUGCCAAGCCAUGACUGACGCUGAUGCACGAAAGCGUGGGGAUCAAACAGGAUUAGAUACCCUGGUAGUCCACGCAGUAAACGAUGAUCACUAGCUGUUUGCGAUACAGUGUAA